rnacentral:rRNA from 1 species
GAUGAACGCUGGCGGCGUGCCUAAUACAUGCAAGUCGAGCGAACAGACGAGGAGCUUGCUCCUCUGACGUUAGCGGCGGACGGGUGAGUAACACGUGGAUAACCUCCCUAUAAGACUGGGAUAACUUCGGGAAACCGGAGCUAAUACCGGAUAAUAUAUUGAACCGCAUGGUUCAAUAGUGAAAGACGGUUUUGCUGUCACUUAUAGCUGGAUCCGCGCCGCAUUAGCUAGUUGGUACGGUAACGGCUUACCAAGGCUACGAUGCGUAGCCGACCUGAGAGGGUGAUCGGCCACACUGGAACUGAGACACGGUCCAGACUCCUACGGGAGGCAGCAGUAGGGAAUCUUCCGCAAUGGGCGAAAGCCUGACGGAGCAACGCCGCGUGAGUGAUGAAGGUCUUCGGAUCGUAAAGCUCUGUUAUUAGGGAAGAACAAAUGUGUAAGUAACUAUGCACGUCUUGACGGUACCUAAUCAGAAAGCCACGGCUAACUACGUG